AUCAAUUUCCCUCCAGGUGUGUCUUAUAACAUGUGGCGUUCAUGAGAAUGGGAUGGACAUUUGGUCACAUUGACCUUGACCACCAAUAGUUCAUCAUUGAGUCCAAUGGGUUGUUUGUUUUGAAUUAGAAAUUCCCUCAAGGCAAUGGUGUUAGUGCUGUCACUUAUAGGAAGUAAAUCCACAUGGUCCGGAGGAGCCUGAGGUCAAGGGUCGGGUCCUGGCACCUAAGCGCCUCCAAUAUGCCAAUGACGACAAUUCUGCCCCAAACAAGAAGGAUGCAUGUUGUGGACUGUCUGCUUAUGAACUCAAACGCCUCGAGAACAUCAGAGAGAGGGAAGCCUUCUUGUCUUCCUUGAAGUUGUUGCAAGACAUCGAAUGCAGUGAGGCCGAGG
rnacentral:lncRNA from 1 species